rnacentral:rRNA from 1 species
CAGCAGCCGCGGUAAUACGGAGGGUCCGAGCGUUAAUCGGAAUUACUGGGCGUAAAGCGUGCGCAGGCGGUUUGUUAAGCGAGAUGUGAAAGCCCUGGGCUCAACCUAGGAAUAGCAUUUCGAACUGGCGAACUAGAGUUUUGUAGAGGGGGGUAGAAUUCCAGGUGUAGCGGUGAAAUGCGUAGAGAUCUGGAGGAAUACCGGUGGCGAAGGCGGCCCCCUGGACAAAGACUGACGCUCAUGCACGAAAGCGUGGGGAGCAAACAGGAUUAGAUACCCGAGUAGUCCCUGUCUCUUAUAC